GAUGCUCCAACCAGCUGGCCACACUGGCCAGGGCACUCACUUUAAUUAAUCCUGUGUCUUCGUCUCUUGUCUAGAGGAUCCAGGCCAAGAACACAAGCAUACUGGAUACUGAGGCUGCAUCUACAUUUUUGCUCCCAGAUGGUUCAGAUGAUCAGCCAGCCGGCUCCAGCCCUCUCUCUCUUCCUUGUUACCACCCAUCACAAUUUCCCUAAUUUGUGUUUUUCCCCGGGACAUGCUCACUGCUCAUGUGUUGCCUUAUUGUAAUGACUGCAUGAGACUAACACUCUGAUAUUUGCGGAGUGCUUUUGUAUUGAGGUGUCGGAUGUAUGAGCAGAGCAUUUUCACGUGCAGUGGCCAUUGCUGCCCCAAGGGACCGUGAGGGCGGUCUCAUUUUCCUUUUUGUUCUCCUGAAGACGCCGAACUGGGGAAGCCGAGUCCUUUGCCCAGGGCCAGGCAGCUGGUAAGAGCAGAGUCCGCAUGCGGAUCCUUCCAGCUCCUGAGCUGUGCUGUUUCCCCUGUCCUUGUGUGCUCUCCUGUCCAGAUAAGAAUUUGAAUUAUUUUGAUAACAUUUCCUUAUAACUCUAAUGGUGGAAAUGCCAGGCGCCAGAGCGGGCCGACAGAAAAGAACCCUGUGCCAGGCGUGUCUUCAGUAUCUUAAAUCAACUGGGUAGGUUUUCUGUUCCACCUUCAGGUAGAGCCAGAGCUGUCAGGCUCACUAUCAAGUCAUAGAUGACUAAUUUAGACUCUCGAAUACAGCCUGUGGGCCGUGUUUGUUGGCAACUGGGCUAGUUUUUGUCCCUCCCCGUGCUGCUGCUGCUGGCUUGUCCCCCUUACGUUCUGGCUGUGGGGAGCCACACACAUUCCCUCCACUCAGGAGUCAGCAUCCAGAUGGUACCGCUCUUUCCUCCCCUCUCCCCACAUCUGAGGUCCCUAGUGUGGCCGUGUAACUUAUUGUCCAAACCAGAGCAAUAUGGGAGAAACAGAGGGCACUCUGAAUAAUUAUGGCUGGACAACAGGUGCGAGCCAGGAUUGCCCUGGGUAAGCCAGGCCCCUGCUCAUCACCACCAGACAAGGGGUGAGAGCUUUCAAGGAAACAACUGACCGAACUAACAUUUGUCUUCCUCCCUUGGUCUGCUUCUGAUAAAGGUUCCAGUGCACACAAACUUCUCCUUACGUCACACCAAAAAGAGAGAUUCCUGAGAGGAUGCAUGCAAUAGAAUGCUUAGGAAAGUUUGCUCAUGAAGGAAACGGAAUUCUUUGGAAACGCAAAAAAAAAAAAAAA